rnacentral:rRNA from 1 species
AGUGAACGCUGGCAGUAGGCCUAACACAUGCAAGUCGAACGGCAGCACAGUAAGAGCUUGCUCUUACGGGUGGCGAGUGGCGGGCGGGUGAGGAAUACAUCGGAAUCUACUUUUUCGUGGGGGAUAACGUAGGGAAACUUACGCUAAUACCGCAUACGACCUACGGGUGAAAGCAGGGGAUCUUCGGACCUUGCGCGAUUGAAUGAGCCGAUGUCGGAUUAGCUAGUUGGCGGGGUAAAGGCCCACCAAGGCGACGAUCCGUAGCUGGUCUGAGAGGAUGAUCAGCCACACUGGAACUGAGACACGGUCCAGACUCCUACGGGAGGCAGCAGUGGGGAAUAUUGGACAAUGGGCGCAAGCCUGAUCCAGCCAUACCGCGUGGGUGAAGAAGGCCUUCGGGUUGUAAAGCCCUUUUGUUGGGAAAGAAAAGCAGCAGGUUAAUACCCCGCUGUCCUGACGGUACCCAAAGAAUAAGCACCGGCUAACUUCGUG